GACGAACGCUGGCGGCGUGCUUAACACAUGCAAGUCGAACGGAAAGGCCCUGCUUUUGUGGGGUGCUCGAGUGGCGAACGGGUGAGUAACACGUGAGUAACCUUCCCUUUACUUUGGGAUAACUUCAGGAAACUGGGGCUAAUACCUGCUAGGAGCUCCUGCUGCAUGGUGGGGUUUGGAAAGUUUCGGCGGUUGGGGAUGGACUCCGGGCUUAUCAGCUUGUUGGUGGGGUAGUGGCUUACCAAGGCUUUGCUGGGUAGCCGGCCUGAGAGGGUGACCGGCCACAUUGGGACUGAGAUACGGCCCAGACUCCUACGGGAGGCAGCAGUGGGGAAUAUUGCACAAUGGGCGGAAGCCUGAUGCAGCAACGCCGCGUGCGGGAUGACGGCCUUCGGGUUGUAAACCGCUUUCGCCUGUGACGAAGCGUGAGUGACGGUAAUGGGUAAAGAAGCACCGGCUAACUACGUG
rnacentral:rRNA from 1 species